rnacentral:lncRNA from 1 species
AAUCAGAAAACAAAAGGUUCUAAAGUACUAUAAACAACUCUCCAUCUCCAAUCUACCAAGUGCCUCCUGAAUAACUAGCCAUAUACAAAGCUACUCAAUCCGUGGCUCCGUUUGCCUCUUUGAAUACAUGUUUGGCCUGAAAGACUAUUUCAUCUCUUAUCAUUGUCCAAAUAUUUUAGAGCAAAGAAUGGCCCUCACUGACGCUGUUGGAGCCAUUUUGAAUCUAGCCGACCACAAUGGCUGAGUUACCCUUAAACAUAACUAAGCCGGCUUAAAAUACUUAGCUCCUAUGUUGCUCCUUAAAAUUCCUCAAAAAAAUGGUGUUCU